ensembl:snRNA U6 U6 spliceosomal RNA
GUGCUUACUUUGGCAGUACAUAUACUAAAAUUGGAAUGAAGAGAGAUUAGCAUGAUCCCCAUACAAGAAUGGCACUCAAAUUUGCUGUGUUCUGUAUUUUU